CGUUUCAUUUAACACUGAGUUGCGUCUAGGGUUAUACCCGUGUUCUUCUUCACCUCUUCAGCGAUCUUCCAUCAUCUUCUUCAUCACAAAGAUAUCAGUUACAGAUUAAUACCCUUAAAACCCUCAAUUAAUAUUUCAUUCAUGAUCUUCAUUCAAUGAGAGUGGAGAUUCUAAUAUAAAAAGAUAUGCAGGCUGACCGCUCCUCCUCCACUGUUCGGUUGAUCCGUUUCUGGGAGUCCAGGAAUCUCCGCCGUAAUGGAGACCUCAAGGGAGUGGUUAUGAUCCUGCUGAAUUCUCAGUUCCUGUCGAGUGUCUUAACCCUGAUGGAUUUCAAGGUCACCGAGAAUGGCUGCGAGAUCAACUACUUGGGGCAGUUAAAGUCACCAGAACUUAGUUAAACUAAUUGGUUAUUGCUUGGAAGAUGAACAACAGCCUCUUUUGUACGAUUUUAUGCAUAAGGGUAGUUUUGAGGACCAUCUGUUCACAAGUGAAUUCAUAAAUAUAGAUUUUAUUGAAACUAUCAGGAGGUUGUUCGUUCUUAUGUCUCAGUGGUGUUGAAGCAGAUGAUGUGCAGUUAAAGCCUCUCUUGUGGACCUUAUUUGUUAAUGUUUCUCUUGAUGCAGCUAAAGAGCUCGCAUUCCUUCAUGGCAACACUGUUAAAGUCAUAUACCGAGACAUCAAGGCCUCUAAGAUCUUGCUCGACCCGUCUAUGACUACAAUGGAAAUUUUCCAGACUUUGGUUUAGCAAGGAACUGUCCAAGGGAGAAACAAGCUAUGGUAUUAGAAGUGUCAUGGGUACAAUUGGCUAUGAAGCUCUCAAAUUGGGAUGCUCGCAGAUUCUCGAAAAAUAAUGGGAUUGACAAAAUAAUGUUUGAGAAAACACAGAGAGAUCUAUCAGACAUGCUUCAUAAUUGGAAGAACAAGAGAUGCAAAUAUAAUAGAGAAAAAGAGAGCUUUGUCUUUUUCUUCCUCUUUUUUUUUACUGAAAUAACAAACAUUUUUUUUGAAAAUAUACUAAUAGUUUAUCCUUUCUCUUAUUACUAAGGAAAAACUAUUUAAAUUUUGGUUAACAUUUAGAAAUGUAAAUUUUACUCUCAGUUGAAGGGAAGAAACAGUGUUUUAUUAUAAUAGAUCUUCCACUA